CACCGGCUAACUCCGUGCCAGCAGCCGCGGUAAUACGGAGGGUGCGAGCGUUAAUCGGAAUUACUGGGCGUAAAGGGUGCGUAGGUGGUUUAUUAAGUUAUCUGUGAAAUCCCUGGGCUUAACCUGGGCAGGUCAGAUAAGACUGGUAGACUCGAGUAUGGGAGAGGGUAGUGGAAUUUCCGGUGUAGCGGUGAAAUGCGUAGAGAUCGGAAGGAACACCAGUGGCGAAGGCGGCUACCUGGCCUAAUACUGACACUGAGGCACGAAAGCGUGGGGAGCAAACAGGAUUAGAUACCCUGGUAGUCCACGCUGUAAACGAUGUCAACUAGCUGUUGGGUAUAUGAAUGUACUUAGUGGCGCAGCAAACGCA
rnacentral:rRNA from 1 species